rnacentral:rRNA from 1 species
AGAGUUUGAUCCUGGCUCAGGACGAACGCUGGCGGCGUGCUUAACACAUGCAAGUCGAACGGGAAUCGCAUACUCAGCACUGAGCGCAUUAUGUCGGUGAAACAAGUAUCUGGCAGCGUCAUGCGAGAGCCAAGCUCAAGCAUUACGCUAUAUACCAAGUGAUUAAUAUAAGCAGGACUUGGGCGCUGAGUGCUGAGCAUGCGAGGAGAGUGGCGGACGGGCGAGUAACGCGUGAGCAACCUGCCCUAUGCAGGGGGAUAACACCGGGAAACCGGUGCUAAUACCGCAUAAGACCACACUGGCGCAUGCCAGAGUGGUAAAAGCUGAGGCGGCAUAGGAUGGGCUCGCGUCCAAUUAGCUAGUUGGUAGGGUAACGGCCUACCAAGGCGACGAUUGGUAGCCGAACUGAGAGGUUGGUCGGCCGCAUUGGGACUGAGACACGGCCCAGACUCCUACGGGAGGCAGCAGUGGGGAAUAUUGCGCAAUGGGGGGAACCCUGACGCAGCGACGCCGCGUGAAGGAAGAAGGCCUUCGGGUUGUAAACUUCUUUGGUCGGGGAAGAAAGUGACGGUACCCGAGGAACAAGCCACGGCUAACUACGUGCCAGCAGCCGCGGUAAUACGUAGGUGGCGAGCGUUGUCCGGAAUUACUGGGUGUAAAGGGCGUGUAAGCGGGGUGUCAAGUCAUAUGUGAAAUUCCGAGGCUUAACUUCCGGUGUGCAUCUGAAACUGAUGCUCUUGAGUGUCGGAGAGGAAAGUGGAAUUCCCCAGUGUAGCGGUGAAAUGCGUAGAGAUUGGGAGGAACACCAGUGGCGAAGGCGGCUUUCUGGACGACAACUGACGCUGAGGCGCGAAAGCGUGGGUAGCGAACAGGAUUAGAUACCCUGGUAGUCCACGCCGUAAACGAUGGAUACUAGGUGUAGGAGGUAUCGACCCCUUCUGUGCCGUAGUUAACACAAUAAGUAUCCCACCUGGGGAGUACGGCCGCAAGGCUGAAACUCAAAGGAAUUGACGGGGGCCCGCACAAGCAGUGGAGUAUGUGGUUUAAUUCGAAGCAACGCGAAGAACCUUACCAGGGCUUGACAUCCCUCUGACCGUCCUAGAAAUAGGACUUCUCUUCGGAGCGGAGGAGACAGGUGGUGCAUGGUUGUCGUCAGCUCGUGUCGUGAGAUGUUGGGUUAAGUCCCGCAACGAGCGCAACCCCUGUUGUUAGUUGCCAUCAUUAAGUUGGGCACUCUAACGAGACUGCCGGUGACAAAUCGGAGGAAGGUGGGGACGACGUCAAAUCAUCAUGCCCCUUAUGUCCUGGGCUACACACGUACUACAAUGGCGAAUACAAAGGGAAGCGAAGUCGCGAGGCAGAGCAAAUCCCCAAAAUUCGUCCCAGUUCGGAUUGCAGGCUGCAACUCGCCUGCAUGAAGUCGGAAUUGCUAGUAAUGGCAGGUCAGCAUACUGCCGUGAAUACGUUCCCGGGCCUUGUACACACCGCCCGUCACACCAUGAGAGCUGACAACACCCGAAGUCGGUAGCUUAACCGCAAGGAGGGCGCCGCCGAAGGUGGGGUUAGUGAUUGGGGUGAAGUCGUAACAAGGUAACCG